rnacentral:lncRNA from 1 species
UUUUCUUUUUAUUCUUUGUUUUAAAAAAAAUGGAAUAAAAUGAAACAAAGCAAAAUCUCGGGAGUCAUCUAAUAUGGAGUUGUAUGUUGUAUAUUUCCAGCAUGCUUUGGUUGUUUCCUAAGUCAUAUUCAUGUGUUCAAAAUACUCUCAUAUACGUGUGUUAAAUUAUUGCCUUUGUUUGAGUACACCUUUGACGUAUAGGUUUGGUUGGCAUGAUUUUUCAUGGAGUAAUUCUGUUCUGUGCAAGAUGUGAUCCUUUGUGAUUUAUAUUUUUAUGUAUCUGCCAAGAUUACUUCCAAUCCCUAUGAGUUUGGUCAUUCAUGUUCAGCUCGGUAUAAUUUUGCAUUAAUCUUAGUCUAAUGUGUUAAUUAUUUUGAUUCACUGUAUACAGUUACUUAGUUUUCUCUUAACAUGCAUGUAUUUGUUGGAUUGUUCCCUACUGGCACACUUUUCCCUUGUUUCAAAAAUAUAUGCAAAGUUGGUUAUGAUCUCAUAAUUGUUUUCCUAUGCAAAAUCACGUGAGAGCUAGUUGUUUCUUAAUCAUCUUAGAUUUGUUAACUCUUUGCUGACUAGUGUUACUUUGUUCUGUUUAUUGUGAGCAACUAUGGAGGAUUC